rnacentral:rRNA from 1 species
UACGAAGGUGGCAAGCGUUGUUCGGAUUUACUGGGCGUAAAGCGUGCGUAGGCGGUUCGUUAAGUGCGUCGUGAAAGCCCCGGGCUCAACCUGGGAAUGGCGAUGGAAACUGGCGGGCUGGAGUAUGGCAGAGGGGGGUGGAAUUCCGCGUGUAGCAGUGAAAUGCGUAGAGAUGCGGAGGAACACCGAUGGCGAAGGCAGCCCCCUGGGCCAAUACUGACGCUCAGGCACGAAAGCGUGGGGAGCAAACAGG